CGCCAGAUAGCUCAGAUGAUAGAGCACCUGACUAUAGAUCAAGGGGGCCCUGAGUUCAAAUUCUGGUCUGGUCU
rnacentral:tRNA from 1 species